rnacentral:rRNA from 1 species
GUGCCAGCAGCCGCGGUAAGACGAACCGUGCGAACGUUGUUCGGAAUCACUGGGCUUAAAGGGCGCGUAGGCGGGCUGCCAGGUCAGAGGUGAAAUCCCACGGCUCAACCGUGGAAGCGCCCCUGAUACCGGCGGCCUCGAGGGAGGUAGGGGCGUGCGGAACUUCCGGUGGAGCGGUGAAAUGCGUAGAUAUCGGAAGGAACACCGGUGGCGAAAGCGGCGCGCUGUACCUCUACUGACGCUGAGGCGCGAAAGCCAGGGGAGCAAACGGGAUUAGAUACCCCGGUAGUCC